AACGAACGCUGGCGGCAGGCCUAACACAUGCAAGUCGAACGGUUCCUUCGGGGACAGUGGCAGACGGGUGAGUAGCGCGUGGGAAUCUACCUUGUGGUACGGAACAACCAAGGGAAACUUUGGCUAAUACCGUAUGAGCCCUUCGGGGGAAAAAUUUAUCGCCAUAGGAUGAGCCCGCGUAGGAUUAGCUAGUUGGUGAGGUAAAGGCUCACCAAGGCGACGAUCCUUAGCUGGUCUGAGAGAAUGACCAGCCACACUGGGACUGAGACACGGCCCAGACUCCUACGGGAGGCAGCAGUGGGGAAUAUUGGACAAUGGGCGCAAGCCUGAUCCAGCCAUGCCGCGUGUGUGAUGACGGCCUUAGGGUUGUAAAGCACUUUCGCCGAUGAAGAUAAUGACUGUAGUCGGAGAAGAAGCCCCGGCUAACUUCGUGCCAGCCGCCGCCGUAAAAC
rnacentral:rRNA from 1 species